GAUGAACGCUGGCGGCGUGCCUAAUACAUGCAAGUCGAGCGAACAGACGAGGAGCUUGCUCCUCUGACGUUAGCGGCGGACGGGUGAGUAACACGUGGAUAACCUACCUAUAAGACUGGGAUAACUUCGGGAAACCGGAGCUAAUACCGGAUAAUAUAUUGAACCGCAUGGUUCAAUAGUGAAAGACGGUUUUGCUGUCGCUUAUAGAUGGAUCCGCGCCGCAUUAGCUAGUUGGUAAGGUAGCGGCUUACCAAGGCAACGAUGCGUAGCCGACCUGAGAGGGUGAUCGGCCACACUGGAACUGAGACACGGUCCAGACUCCUACGGGAGGCAGCAGUAGGGAAUCUUCCGCAAUGGGCGAAAGCCUGACGGAGCAACGCCGCGUGAGUGAUGAAGGUCUUCGGAUCGUAAAACUCUGUUAUUAGGGAAGAACAAAUGUGUAAGUAACUAUGCACGUCUUGACGGUACCUAAUCAGAAAGCCACGGCUAACUACGUG
rnacentral:rRNA from 1 species